UAAUUAGAAUAUGAGUCUGUAAAAUGCUGAUGGCCUUAAAAAUAAGCAGGCAUCGUUUUCUUUCAUUUCGUUUAGAUCUUUGUAAUUUCCAUCCCCUUAGGUGAAGUCUGAAAGUUAUCUCUUAUCUCAACCAGGAGAUGUCACUGUAGUUGGAUCAAUUGACUAACAGAACAAUUCGAGAUAUUCUGAAAAUGGUUUGGAUGUUAAAAACUUCCUAAGGAAACUUCUAUACAUGUAUGGCUAUCUCAAAAUUACCCCUUCAAUCAAGUUACCACUGUUUUAUUAAAGUGUCCUGUCUUUAGAAAGACAAUCAAUGGCUGGCUAAACUUAUCAGGACAAGAUGGACAUCUGGACUCUACACUGUGGUGGGGCUCGCCAAGCUCAUGCAGAAUUCACAAAGGUCACAACAUAUUCUGAAGUCCAGAGACAUAUCCACGUGGAACUGAGAAGCAGGAAUUUACAGGGAAACAGAAAAGUCUGAAAUGAAAACCAUAUCAGAUCAAUAUAAAUGGUAUGCUCAACAGUGAUCCCCUCAAAGAUCUCUAUGUUCUAAUCUCUGGCAAUGUGAACAUGUCUAUUUACAUAGUAAAUUAAAUAUGUAGAUCAAGUUAUGGAUACUGACAAGAGUAAAUUAUCCUGGUGAGUUCAAUGUAAUCACAAGUGUCUCUACAAGAGGCAAGCAGGAGACCAAGUCAUGGCAGGUGGUUAAGGCAGCUUGAUUCCACAUGGUCAACUACACAGUUCAAAUUCUGAACUCUGUGGCUCAAGAAACAUCCAGGGGACAUAGGUGUGUGUGCUCCAAAUCUCCAAAGAAGGGCAAGACGUAAGAGAAGGGACUGCAGAGUGACCAUGCCCCAUGUGGGCUGCUUUCUUGCUUUGCACCCUUCUAUCUGCCUCUGGAUCUUUCUCUGGCAAGCACAUGUACCCUUCACAAAUUAAAGGAAGAAAAGAAAAGGGAAGUAAGCAGAAGCAUGAUGGCCAGAAUUCAGUAGUAAGAGAUGGGAUGACACAGCAAGUAAGUAAGAGGUCUUAGCCAAAGAAUGUAGGUGACUUCUAGAAGCUGAAAAAGAUGAAGGAAACAGAUUCUUCCCCUAAAGCCGCUGGAACAAUGGAGCCCUGCCAAUACCUUGAUUUAGACUUCUGAGCUCCAGAUAUAUAAGAGCACAAACAUAUUUUUAUGUUACUAAGUCUGGGAUGAUAUGAUGCAGUGAUGAUAACGCAAAAUGAUGAUAAAUGUUGGAGAUGGUAGAUAUGUUUUUGCCCUAAUUUCAUCA